UGGAGCAUGUGGUUUAAUUCGAUGCAACGCGAAGAACCUUACCAAGGCUUGACAUAUACCGGAAACGUUCAGAAAUGUUCGCCCCGCAAGGUCGGUAUACAGGUGGUGCAUGGUUGUCGUCAGCUCGUGUCGUGAGAUGUUGGGUUAAGUCCCGCAACGAGCGCAACCCUCGUCGUAUGUUGCCAGCACGUAAUGGUGGGAACUCAUAUGAGACUGCCGGGGUCAACUCGGAGGAAGGUGGGGAUGACGUCAAAUCAUCAUGCCCCUUAUGUCUUGGGCUUCACGCAUGCUACAAUGGCUGGUACAAUGGGCUGCAAUACCGCGAGGUGGAGCGAAUCCCAAAAAGCCAGUCUCAGUUCGGAUUGGGGUCUGCAACUCGACCCCANNAAGUCGGAGUCGC
rnacentral:rRNA from 1 species